GUGUUUGAUGGGUAGUUUGACUGGGGCGGUCGCCUCCUAAAAAGUAACGGAGGCGCGCAAUGGUUCACUUAGUCCGGAUGGAAAUCGGGCUGAAUGUGUAUUCGCAUAAGUGAGCUUGACUGUGAGGCUGACAGGCCGAGCAGGUAGGAAACUAGGUGAAAGUGAUCUGGUGUCUGCACGUGGGUGCGGCAUCACUCAACGGAUAAAAGUUACCCUGGGGAUAACAGGCUGAUCGCUCCCAAGAGCUCAUAUCGACGGAGCGGUUUGGCACCUCGAUGUCGGCUCGUCACAUCCUG
rnacentral:rRNA from 1 species